GAUGAAGAACGCAGCGAAAUGCGAUACGUAAUGUGAAUUGCAGAAUUCAGUGAAUCAUCGAGUCUUUGAACGCACAUUGCGCCCCCUGGUAUUCCGGGGGGCAUGCCUGUCCGAGCGUCAUUGCUGCCCUCAAGCACGGCUUGUGUGUUGGGCCUCCGUCCUCCUCCCGGGGGACGGGCCCGAAAGGCAGCGGCGGCACCGCGUCCGGUCCUAGCGUAUGGGGCUUCGUCACCCGCUCUUGUAGGCCCGGCCGGCGCUUGCCGACACAUCAAUCUUUUUUCCAGGUUGACCUCGGAUCAGGUAGGGAUACCCGCUGAACUUAAGCAUAUCAAUAAGCGGAGGA
rnacentral:misc_RNA from 1 species